rnacentral:sRNA from 1 species
GCUGGGCACAGUGGCGCAUGCCUGUAAUCCCAGCGGCUUGGGAAGCUGAGACAUGAGGAUCGCGAGUUCAAAGUCAGCCUUAGCAACAGAGAGGCACUAAGCAAUGCAGUGGGACCCUGUCUCUA